GUUGUAAGAAAUGGGCUGGGCUUGUCUGAUCUGAGCUAUGCCUCUAUGAUCCAGACCAACUUUGGGUUGUCGGGCCUACCCGAAAAGCCCCGGGUGCUCAUGAUGAUCCGACGCAGAAGAAGAAUCGUCACUUGUUCUCCCAGAUCUCUGUCUUGUGAGCAAUUUAUGAGGUUCCUCUGUAGAGUUUUUCAAUUCUUAAAAGUCGAAUCCAUUAUUCAAGAUUUCCCUUUGUUCUCUGAUAUUUCGUGUGAUUCUUUGUAUAAACUCAUACUAUAGAUUAGUGUUACCAUUUUUGAACAACAACAUCACCGAACCCGAGAUGGUAUUCUGCUACCCCUCAUCCCCUGCCAAGUUUGGUGCCACAAUGGCGUGCUUUGUUGGUGGUGGUGCUCUCUUUGCUUUUGGGGUACACUAUUCUUAUAAGUAUAUAGCCCCUCAACAAGCUCGGACUAAGGCUAGGAAUGACUUCGUCAAGGACCGUUUGAGAAAGAAAUAUGGCAAAUAACUCACUCUCUCUCUCUCUCUCUUGUUGUUUUUCUUUUAUGGGAUUUGCUUCAGAGAAUCUGUCUGGAUUACAAGAAAGCUCAGUAACUUAAAUGGAGAUUAGUCUUGUAUAAGCAAUAAUGUUUCAAAAAUACACGUUUUACUCAAUUGCAAGUUUGCAACCCAUGAAGCAUCUGAUUGAAGUCGGGAUUCAUCCACCGAGGAACUUGCAUGCAGUACUUCUUAUGCAACCCAAGUGACUCAUGCUGCUAACCAUCAAUACAUUUGGCUGAGCAUCCCUCUGUGUCAUCAUCAUUGUUCUUAUCUUGGCUUUGAAUUGUUUCCUUCUCCCUGUUGUAUAAUCCUAGAUUCUUUCUCCUUUGUUGCAUCAGUUGGUGUCUGAAAUCCUUUGUUGUAUGAUAUCUUUCUAAGUUUAGCACUCAACCUUGAAACAUUGUGUUUUGCUCAGAAAAUCUUGGUAUGUGCAGUUUCGGCUCCUUUAACUUUGUCAAAUUACAUCUUGACACCUCAGCCUAUUGCAACAAAGAUAUAUCUGGCUUUGUUGUUUGUGAUCUGCUAGUGGAGGGUAUGAACCUCACCACAUGAUCUCUAACAAGUAAAGCGUACUUAUGGCCAGAAAUACAUGUUAAGUUAACACACGUGGAUUUUGAAGUGGUGAAUUCAUGUAAUGGCUUGCUCUGCUUCUUAGAACCGUUGUUCUAUGAUCCAGUCUGGGUUUGCGGUCUAAUUGUUAGUUCAGUACAUCACCCAUUCACAAGCAUGUGAUUGAACUUGAGGAUGAUAUUUGUUUCUGGAUUUCGGGUUGAUACAAAUUCUGGUACCUGAAAUGGAUGAACCUAUCACAACAAGACACCCAACAUGGUGAUGGUCUAGGGUGCAAGGUAAAUAUGAUCAAGCUUAGGUUGAAGCAGCUACGUAUGAGCAAUUACAAUUAAUCAACAUCGAAAUGCUGAUCAUUCUUCUCCACCACCACUUCUACCUUUUGAAACUCCGCGUUGUGAUCCUGAGCUACUGGGAGGGUUCAAUGGGCAGGCACCUCCCCUCAGAAUGCUCAACCUCUACAUCAUUCUGGAGGAUUUGUGCUCAUAUUGAGUCGAUGAAACUAUGCAGGGCCUAAUUCUUUGAGGUGUAAUAUUCAUGGAAUUGCUUUGACGGAGCAGUGAGUGCAGAAUAAGUAUGGUGCAUGCUUCACUGUUUUAUGAAACCAAGCUGGGAAGCAAGAAGCUGGUAAAUUCAGUUAUGCCAUUGAACCUCUUUGUCCGACUAACUUGUGCACUGGUUUAUGAUGGCGAUUUCCGUGGCUUUUCACAUUCUCGGGCAGUGACAUUUUGAUUGGUUUUAAUUGUUCGUCUUCCAUCAGGAAUGUGCAUACUUUCUUUUUUGACUGGGUGUAAGUAGUAAGCAGUCAUCAGUGGAAUCUCCAAUUGCCAAUGGAAAUAGACACUGCCUAAAGGAAAAAGAAAAUUCAGGGCACCAUAAAUUUGUGAAUGUUGCUCUUUAGUGUUCUUGGUUCAA